rnacentral:rRNA from 1 species
UACGUAGGGUGCAAGCGUUGUCCGGAAUUAUUGGGCGUAAAGAGCUCGUAGGCGGCUUGUCGCGUCGGCUGUGAAAACCUGGGGCUCAACCCCGGGCCUGCAGCCGAUACGGGCAGACUAGAGGUAGGUAGGGGAGAAUGGAAUUCCCGGUGUAGCGGUGAAAUGCGCAGAUAUCGGGAGGAACACCGGUGGCGAAGGCGGUUCUCUGGGCCUUACCUGACACUGAGGAGCGAAAGCGUGGGGAGCGAACAGG